UAGAUCAAUGAAAUUAAUCAAAACACUGGUUCACGCCAUUACACAACAGUAUACAGAUGGAAAUUCCUAUACCAACUCUGGACUACCUGGAAAAUCCUGGAUAUAUGACGUCAUGUGACCUAUGCAAAACUGCUAAGGUACAGCUGUACUGUGACAUUUGUAAAGUCAGCCUCUGUCAAUCGUGUAUUGGGGAACAUGUAACAUCAGAACUGACUAAGCCACACACAGUUGUAGGCGUCAGUCAAAGAAAAACGCCUACAGAUUUCCCAAAGUGCUUGGUCCAUAAAGAAAA